GCAGUGGUGGUUCAGCGGUAAAAUUCUUGCCUUCCAUGCAGGAGAUUCAGGUUUGAUUCCUGACCAGUGCA
rnacentral:tRNA from 1 species